rnacentral:rRNA from 1 species
UACGUAGGGCGCGAGCGUUGUCCGGAAUUAUUGGGCGUAAAGAGCUCGUAGGCGGCCGGUUGCGUCUGCUGUGAAAUCCCGGGGCUUAACCCCGGGCGUGCAGUGGAUACGGGCCGGCUGGAGGCAGGCAGGGGAGAAUGGAAUUCCCGGUGUAGCGGUGAAAUGCGCAGAUAUCGGGAGGAACACCGGUGGCGAAGGCGGCUAUCUGGACAGUGACUGACGCUGAGACGCGAAAGCGUGGGGAGCAAACAGG